GUAGGUCCACAAUUCUUGUUCUUCAGUCCUCUUGUUAGGUGGCAUCCUAAUAUGAUUAUUGUUGUUUUUCCUAUUGUCUUUUCUAUUUUGUGGCCUGAACUCAGCUAUUGCUACAAGUUAUGUUAAUUUUCUUUUGGAACUUUUUUCUAUUAUUGGUGUAAUGAUUAGUUGUUAACUCCUCAGUAGUGGCUCUAUAAAAGAUAUGCUGGUAAGUGGAUAUUGAUGUAUGGUUGCCUUUAGAGGUCCAUCUAUACGUAGUAGAGAGUUUGGUUGUGGCUGUGCUAUGACAUUGGUGUUAAUCAAUUGCUCGGAUAAUGGUGAUUUUUAAUUAAACCUAUGGGCAAAAGCCAAGCAGUAAUCUCCAAGGAAAGAGAAACUACUGUAGCUGAGUUGAGAGAUUAUUUGCAGUAUUCUGGGCCAUUGAAUGCAUCUCAAGUAUUUGGUAGGGAAGUACUUUAAACAGAGAGAGAUGGUACUUCCCUUCCAACCAACUUUCUAUGUCAUUCAGCAAUAUUAAUUACUAUGUUGACGUUCCUAUGGUAACCCAAGAAGGGAUAACAGAAGACAGAUAACAAUUGUUGGUUAAUGUCAGUGAAUCGUUCAGAUGUUGACUUGGACACACAAAGGUAAAACUAAUUGAUUGAUGAUUUUUUAAAAAAACUAUUAUGGUGUGUAAGUAACAUAAAUUGAUGAUAGUUUUUAUUUGUGACAAGCUUUUUGUUGAUGAGGUGAGGAACUUGUUGAACUUAACCCACCUAGUGGAGCUUUAGUUGGUUUUAGGUGAAUCAACAAUAUUUUUUAAUUAAGGAUGUGGAGUUGAAUUCUUCCCUAUCUGAUGACAUUAUAUAUUGUUUUUGUAAAUUACCUGAAUUAGUAUUCAUAUAUAUAUGUAAAGUUUUGGAAAUUAUUAUA